GUUUGGAGAAACUUUAUUUGAAGUGUACUUUGAGUUUUUAGUGUCACUUUUAUGAAGAGUGCGGGACUAAUGACCUGUAGGCACUAUAGCCAGCCACAAGGGGGCUCACUUUGACUAAUCUGUCAUGUUCGCGGGUGUAGGAUCUUCUACAGCCGGUACACUCUACUGUCGGCGAUGGUCGCUCUGCAAACAUGUCCAUGAAUGAAUCGGCGAGAAUAUCGGCAGAGCAAAUACAAAAUCUUUCCACAGCGACAGCAACGCCACAUGGCCACCUCGGCUCCCACCAGCUACAAAACACAUAUGGGCCAGCCACCACCUCCACUGGGACGUCAUACCGCUCGCUAUACUUUCAUAUUUACUUUCAUGUAACCUAGCUGGCUGGCUUAUUGACAAAAAAUGUUGAUGAACCAGCUGGUAAUCGAUCAAUUGUAUAGAGACCCCAUGAUGGAUUGAUGAUGCUGUCAGUUAGUUGGUUUGCAUCUACAGUUUGCAUUCACUAUGAACUAAAAACAUAUUGCUCUCUUGUAAUGCACAGGUGUCUGUGUGUUUUCAUUGGUUUCAGGUUCCCCUUCCAUCAGUUCCUCAAAGGCCUGCGACACACUCACAUUUUGUGAGAAAAAACAAAGCCUGCAAACACUAUACAAGAGAUGUUGUGUGCUUGCCUUUUUCUUCAGCAUCAACAUUCCGCAUUCCCAGGUGAGACUCAAGAGCAAAUUUGGCACAAGAUGGACUUAUUGGGAAGAUCUCCUUUACAUCUGACUGGUCUGAAGCACAACUUAGAGAAGAAAUGACUUUCAUUUUCAGAAGAACGUCUGCAUUGUCUAUGGGCUAGUGAUUCCAGUUUGAGUAUUUGAGUACAGUCAAGGGAUGCAAAAGACUAAUGAAACCAAACGUCUCGAGCUGUUUUCUGUGGGGUGGAAAAGAAGUUGCCUCAAUUAGUUCAGCCACCUGUCUCUAUAUAAUGGCAUUAAUACACAAACCUGUACCCAGUUGGAAAUAAGGAAAACUGAACUUCAGGCUGAGACUGAGAGGGCAGUGAGACUCGUUCGAGAGGAUAGCGGCCACUUUACAAUGGCCACCUGAAAUAUGGACGCUUCUGCUUCAGUGUAAAAUGCAUGGUAAAGCUCAGGAUGCUAUGGGCGCACUCCCUGUCAAAGAUAGCUUAGAUUAUGAAACUGUCAAUACGGCUAUCUUACGAGCAUAUGAACUUGUGCCUGAAGCAUACCGACAGAAGUUUCAAGGUCACAAGAAAACUCCUGCUCAGACAUAUGUUGAGUUCGCCGUGAGAAGGGAACUCUGUUUGAUAAAUGGUGUGCCACGUGUAAAGUUAAUGAUUUCAAUACGUUGAGAGAGCUGAUCCUGUUAGAGGACUUCAAGAAGUGUUUGUCUGAGCGUAUUGUUGUGUAUCUGAAUGAACAGAAAGUGGGUACACUGUCUGCUGCUGCUGUGCUGGCUGAUGAGUAUGUGUUAACCCAUGAAUCUGCUUUUUCUCCAGUCUCUGCUGUCUCAUGUCCCUCCUCUCCUCACAGAUCCCCUAAUCCACAUGGGCUGAAAGAGGAAAGGGAAUGUUAUUACUGUCACCAGGUUGGCCAUGUCAUUGCAAAUUGCGUGACCAUCAAACGCAGAGAGCAGUCCUCACGCUCUGCUCAAGCAAAAGGGGUAGGAGUGAUUAAAGCAGAUCGUGGUGUGAACACUGACUCAUCUGAUCAGGAAAUUAAUGACUGUUUUAAGCCGUUUGUGUUUGAUGCCUUUGUGUCACUGACUGGUGAGUCCACUGAUAAACACCCCAUACAGGCUUUGAGAGAUACGGCGUGCUCCCAGUCUGUUAUUUUGGCGUCAGCUCUGCCUUUUUCUGAUAACUCUGCUUGUCAUUACAGUUCAGUUCUUAGAGGAGUUGAUAUGAGUUACGUGCCACAGCCAGUGCACCGCGUCCAUGUUCAGUCCUCCCUUGUUACUGGAUUCUUCCCAGUGGUUUCAAUUGCAGUACAUGAAGGUGAAAAAGAAAGACUAUAGCUUGUGUUUUCCCAUCUUGCUUCACAUUCUUUGCCCUGUUCUUUUCAUCUUGUGGUCAAAUUUUCUGUUAAGAGCUCCUUUGCAAUAAAAAUGCAACAUUAUGUGAUGUACACGUGAACAAAUCUUUCAUUUCUUGGUUUCUGUAAAUCAACAACCUGAUGCAAUCAGUAUAGCCUAAUUAAAAAUAAUAUUUUUUUAAAGAAUUAAGUAGCUGUACUUGAACAAGAGUUUUUAACUGUCCUAAAACUAUAUUCCUGUUUGUGGAUGUUGUGUUUACUUCUGUGAGGACUGUAUCUGACCCUUCUUUAUACUGUAAGAUGUUGUACUGUAUGAUUGGAAGGAUAUGGAAGUCAUCAGAGUAAUAAAUGACUAAUGUAGUUACUU